GUAGGGAAUAUUGGGCAAUGGUCGGAAGACUGACCCAGCCAUGCCGCGUGCAGGAAGACGGCCCUCUGGGUUGUAAACUGCUUUUAUCUGGGAAGAAAAAGGCCAUGCGUGGCAAAUUGCCGGUACCAGAUGAAUAAGCACCGGCUAACUCCGUGCCAGCAGCCGCGGUAAUACGGAGGGUGCGAGCGUUGUCCGGAUUUAUUGGGUUUAAAGGGUGCGUAGGCGGCUGAUUAAGUCAGCGGUGAAAGACUUCGGCUUAACCGGAGCAGUGCCGUUGAUACUGGUUGGCUUGAGUGUCGGAGGGGUACAUGGAAUUGAUGGUGUAGCGGUGAAAUGCAUAGAUACCAUCAGGAACACCGAUAGCGAAGGCAUUGUACUGGCCGACAACUGACGCUGAUGCACGAAAGUGUGGGGAGCAAACAGGAUUAGAUACCCUGGUAGUCC
rnacentral:rRNA from 1 species